rnacentral:rRNA from 1 species
AGUGAACGCUGGCGGUAGGCCUAACACAUGCAAGUCGAACGGCAGCACAGGAGAGCUUGCUCUCUGGGUGGCGAGUGGCGGACGGGUGAGGAAUACAUCGGAAUCUACUUUUUCGUGGGGGAUAACGUAGGGAAACUUACGCUAAUACCGCAUACGACCUACGGGUGAAAGCAGGGGAUCUUCGGACCUUGCGCGAUUGAAUGAGCCGAUGUCGGAUUAGCUAGUUGGCGGGGUAAAGGCCCACCAAGGCGACGAUCCGUAGCUGGUCUGAGGGGAUGAUCAGCCACACUGGAACUGAGACACGGUCCAGACUCCUACGGGAGGCAGCAGUGGGGAAUAUUGGACAAUGGGCGCAAGCCUGAUCCAGCCAUACCGCGUGGGUGAAGAAGGCCUUCGGGUUGUAAAGCCCUUUUGUUGGGAAAGAAAUCCAGCUGGCUAAUACCCGGUUGGGAUGACGGUACCCAAAGAAUAAGCACCGGCUAACUUCGUGCCAGCCGCCGCAGUAACAC